GUUGUAAGUACUGUAUUUUAUAUUGUAAAGUUUAGGAUAAACACUGUGUACAACACGAAUAGUUGUUUAUUUCCCAGAAAUUUGGCACAAAAAACACAGUCGUAAGUCGAGUGGUCGUAGUCGAGCAGGUCGUAAGUCGGAUGGUAGGCGUAUAUAUAUACGUAUAUAUAUUAUAGCAUGUUUACACAUACCUGCUGGAUACUCAAACCCUCUAUCACUCUAAACACCCUUCACACUUUCUCCUCAUUCAAGUUAACUUAUGCAUAUUUACAUUGUACUUCUUAAGGAAGGGCUUGUAGUAUUGAAAUUUAGGACAUGAAAUGUAUACCAUGUUAAGCAUUUCAUUCAACAGUUUUCCUUUUCUUUCAGUGGGUAGCCCAAACAGCAGUAUUAACUCAUUGCAGUCGUUGACACAGACAGCAGGAGGAUCAUUAGCAGGAUUACGGCCGUUGGUACCUGCACUUACCCCUAGCCUCGCUAAUUAUUAUAAUGAAAACCUCAUUACACACGUACAAAAUUGGCCAGCUGAAGCCCUAGAAAAGCCGGCACAGAGAUUGUCUGAAGAAGCUCAUUCUGUUGGGAGUUAGUGAUGACGCGGUAUCUGCCGAGCUCAAGAUGGCACGUUUCCCUUGUACGUCUGGCAGAGAUACAGGCUACACUCCAUGAACAAAGGAUACUUUUUCUACGUGCUCAGAAGAGAGAACUUGAAGAAAUGAAGGCACAGAAUUCCUUCAUGAGUGACACAUAGUGUUGGCCUGCCUGUGAUAGCUGCCUGGGACAGUUGUCUGGACAUAGACAUGCCUGGGAAUAUUUAUAAAGUGUUAUAUUUUCUUAAUCAUGUUCUGGAUGUGUGAACAUUGGUAAAAUCCAAAGUGCAGGGUGUGGCAGUGUUGUGAGGCCCCAUUUCUGGGUUGUGUUGGCUGUGAGUAACUUCAAGCCAUAAGCACAACAAACGGGUGCAGGAUAUGCGCUGUCACAGGCCUUGGUGACUGCUGGCUCCACACAGGAUUCACCUGCUACCUGCCGUCCUGUGUUUGGACUGGCCUAUCCUCGGCUCUCCUCCACCGAUGUCCCCAAUGUCAUCUAUGUUUCUCUGUGAUGAAUGACACAACUAAACACCUCCGAAGGCUGAGCCUUUAUUGAACAGCUCUGCCAUGUCACAAUGUAAUACCUGCUAUGCCAGAGGCUGGCACUGUAUCACACUCCCUGGGGUCUUGAGAUUCACUUCUUUGAGCAACAUCUAUCCCAUUCCCUUCAUCACACAUUGUUUCUUCUCUGCUGGCUGACUCAAGCCCACAUGGAUACCUGGAAGUCUUGGCAGAGCUCUCCAGCCCAUUAGGUUUGAAAAAUUGUUGUAUUUAUUGCUUUACACAUUUCACAACAGUACACUUGUGAGCCACUUUUCAUACCAGCUUGUUACUACUGGAAGGAAAUCACCAGUUAAUAUUGCCAUCUGUAUUUCACUGUAAAAUAGGUUGGAAGUGUUUAUUGGUGUUCCUAAUCCAGUAGUUGUGGUACACAUUUCAUUGCCUAUUUGCUAUCAGUAGAUCCUGGAGAGCAUAGUUGAAUUUCUUUACUGCUUUCCAUAAUCAGUUAUCCAAGUGUAAGUCCUGUGAAUGUGCAUUUUGUGUUCUUGGUGACUGUCAUUAGGUCCCCAGGGUUGGAUUUGAGGUAGUCUCGAGCAUUUCAAUGCUAAAAAUUUAAUGUUAUUUAAGUCAUUGUUUUGCUGGCCAAUCUGCAUCUCAAGUCAUUAUAAUUCCAACUGGGCUGUGAAAAAUUUAUUUGUCAUGAUCUUAACCAGUUGUUGAUAUUUAGGCUUCAGAAGUGAUGUAUUAAAAGGUUAAAUUUGAGAGGAAAAAGGUUAUUGAAAAUUUAGUUAAAAGUUUUUGGUCAUGUUAUGGGUUUGGUAGUCAUCUUUAAAUAAUGGAAAAGCAACAGCUCUUUUCUCAUAUCAUUUUAUUAUUUUCUUAGACCUAUUCAAGUACUUUCUGCCAUCAAAUCUUCAUAUCCUUUGUUUUAAUUAUGACAUACAUUUUAAAGACAUUAGACUGUCAUUAGAUAGGGUAUCCUGUUUGUCAGUCCCAUCAUGCAGUUUAUGAUUAUAGUGGAAUCAGUAACCUGUUAAUUUGAUGUAACAUUUAUGUAUUCAUCUUCUGAUUGUCAAACGUGUGUUUCUCUGAGCUUGAAAAUAAUCGGUGUUGGAUGCAAUGGUCAAGUCUGUUGGGAGGCUUCAGCCACCUCAAUUGUUCCUCAAAAAGAAUAAACCUCAAAAACUAAGGGCCAAAGUUUUUUAAGCGUGGGAGUAAUUGUAUUGUCCACAUUUUGUAUCCACUGUACACAAGUUUCAAAGUUUUCGUGGCUGCCUUUAAAGUUUUGUUUUAGAUGUGACUUCUAGUGGGCUGAAUUCAACUGAAGAGAAAUUGAAGGUAUAGAUGAAAGCUCAACAUGAUCAUUGGCUAAUUGUAUGACCCUGUGUAUAACUAAAAAAAAAAAAAAAAGGUUAAAAAGGACUUCCAAUUGGUUUACCAAAUGACUUAGUUGAACAAAAUCUCCCAGUCACCAUCGGUAGGUUACCGAGUUUAUAAUGGUGCUAAAUUAGGAUGGUUUUUGGGUGUGUUCAGUGAACUCUGUGAUGUGAGCUAUUUCAGGGCAAAAGUUUAUUGUAUCAUAUCUGUUUUGUUUUUUGUGUUUUUGAAAAUCUCUAGUCUGAAAAAUAUAUUAAGAGUUUGAUUCUUGCAUUGCAGUUUUUCCAUUAUGUACAACACCUUCAAAUAGAGAUGCUUAAGAGGUACAUUUUAUGCAUAAUGGGUGAAUCAUGAAUGUGAUAAGUGAUAGGGUAAGAUGUACUAUUUUAAGUGCACAGCCAAAUUAGUUGAAUUUCUAGAAAUAUCGUAAAUUAUUUCAAAAAGUUGUGUAUGAAUAAUUCACAUGUGCAUUUAUGUACCUUGGCAUUUCCUAAAUGCAUUGCUGUGUGCAGUAGUGACAAAUCUUUUGAACUGUGCCUGGCUUAAAUCAGAAGUUACUUUAGUUAUUUAAUUUUUUUUAUUUAGUACAAUUGUCCUAAUUUUUUUUUAUACUUGCCAGGCUCAGUUCAAAAUUUUUAGUAGGAGUCACAAAAUUUAUUUGGACAAGUAUUUGCUAGUGGUUGGGACAAGCAGCAGCUAUCACAGAUAAUAUAAUAUUCAUAUUAUUGCAUUCCAUUUUCUAUAUGAAUUCUUUGGACAUCAUAAUUAUAUUUACUGCAUUAAACCUUUGUUUUGCUUCCUUAUUCUGUUUGUCUUCUCAGAUAUGUCAGGUAUACCUUUCUUACAGUUUGCUCUGUAUGCAAAUUCUGUCUUUUCUUACAAACUAGUGAAAUGAAGAGGAAUUGGGAUGUA